rnacentral:lncRNA from 1 species
CCCCAGGCUUUUCCAUAGCUCCCACCCUCUGCCCCCAGGCUUCUCCUUGGCUCCCACCAUCUGUGGGCACCCCUGCCCCCAGGCUUCUCCAUAGCUCCUACCACCUGCUGGCACCCCUGCCCCCAGGCUUCUCCAUAGCUCCCACACAAACACGUGAUGCAAUCCAUGUGCGUGCCCAGAGAGCCUCCUUGCACAUGGAGCACACAUCUCCCACGCAGAGUCCGUGUGAUGAGGGCCAGGUCUCAGCACCUGCAUACAGGGAUACAGGCACUGAGCAUGUUAUGUCAGGUGAAUUAACGGUCACAACUUCACUGGCACUAGAGUCUACUCAUUAUUUGUGGCUUCCCUGGUAGCUCAGACAGUGAAGCGUCUGCCUGCAAUGCGGGAGGCCUGGGUGCGAUCCCCGGGUCGGGAAGAUCCCCUGGAGAAGGAAAUGGCAACCCACUNNNNNNNNCUUGCCUGGAAAAUUCCACGGAUGGAGGAGCCUGGUAGGCUACAGUCCACAGGAUCACAAAGAGUUGGACACGGCUGAGCAACUUCGCUGGCACUAAGGCCAGCGCCUGUGACUCGACUGGGUACCAGAACCACUUGGGAAUAGCUUCCAAAAGUGAAGGUGAGUCAUGCCGACAUCACCUGGAGCCAAAGAGGAAGGCAGCUGGUGUGACGUGAGGGCUGAAUAUCCGGCCCAGGAACCAUGCAUUAAAAGCGCACGGAGAUACACUCACCGUAGCCAAAACGGCCGAGACAUAAAGGCCGCUCUGGGUUUCAGCAGAGACCCAUAAGCCUUUUCUGUCGAGGCUGACAGAUGCAUCCUGUUACCGAAGGCUCCGCCUGAGGCCGGCCGCCAGCCGCCGCCCUGCGCUCCGAGGGCAGCCAGCACGGGCUCUGGGCUCCGCUCCCCUCCAUGGGCACCAGGCCUCAGUCAGCCGGGCGCCGCCGAGUGCCAGCGCUCUGGCUUCAAGGCCAGCUCCCUGUCACUCAGGAUGACCGCUGACUCCAGGAAGUCACGCGUUCUGGAACCUUUCCCUCGGAGAGCUUCACCCGAGAUGACCAGGUGUUUGUGGCAGCUACAGGGCACGGGCUUCCAAACCAACUGGCCCGGAGUAAGGUCCUCACACUACCCCACACUGCCGACCACAUCCUUCUCAGGGGGCCAGAAAAA